GUCAGAUUUGCUCUAAAUGCUUUGGGUUUUGAGUUAUAAGCCAAAAACUGCAUUUUACCCCAUGUUCUAUUUUUAGCCAUGGCGGCCAUCUUGGUUGGAUGGCCGGGACACCGGACACAUUUUUCAAACUACUAACCCAAAAGAUGAUUGUGGCCAAGUUUGGAUUAAUUUGGCCAAGUAGUUUCAGAGGAGAAGAUUUUUGUAAAAGAUUACUAAGAUUUACGAAAAAUGGUUAAAAAUUGACUAUAAAGGGCAAUAACUCCUAAAGGGAUCAACUGACCAUUUCAGUCAUGUUGACUUAUUUGUAAAUCUUACUUUGGUGAACAUUAUUGCUGUUUAUAGUUUAUCUCUAUCUAUAAUAAUAUUCAAG
rnacentral:lncRNA from 1 species